CUCCCCCUUCUGGAUGAAUCAUUUUGCCACUUAAAUGCAGACAAAAACCAGUCAUGUUUUCAUGGCCCUUUUCAGACUGUAAGGUGGAGAAUGAAGAAAAUACCCUGGUGGCUUAUAAUGAAAGAGCUAUGCAGACAUGCAUUGGCCCCAGCUUGAUGCUUUUCUUUUCACGAAAGUAUUCUCAUAUGGAAGCAAAGUGUUGGACGACUUUCUGUAAUAACCACCUGAGAUCAACCCUUAAGACUACUCACACAUUGGGAGAACGUCUGAACAUAACAAUAACCUGUGGUCCAAGGGAGUGGAAGCUCGUCCAUUUUCUACAGGAUGAUGUGUUCCAACAGCUCUGCAGGAAUGGAAGCACUCCCAAAAGAUGGUCAUCCAACCUAGAGCUACUUGUUAAAAAUGACUAUAAAUGUUUGAGCUCACAAAACAGGAAACCUAC
rnacentral:lncRNA from 11 species